GACCCGCUUAGCUCAGUCGGUAGAGCACAAGACUGGUGAUCUCGAGGCUGGAGGUUUUAUCCCCAGGGUCG
rnacentral:tRNA from 1 species